GGGAGGCAGCAGUGGGGAAUUUUGGACAAUGGGGGAAACCCUGAUCCAGCCAUCCCGCGUGUGCGAUGAAGGCCUUCGGGUUGUAAAGCACUUUUGGCAGGAAAGAAACGUCAUGGGUUAAUACCCCGUGAAACUGACGGUACCUGCAGAAUAAGCACCGGCUAACUACGUGCCAGCAGCCGCGGUCAUACGUAGGGUGCAAGCGUUAAUCGGAAUUACUGGGCGUAAAGCGUGCGCAGGCGGUUCGGAAAGAAAGAUGUGAAAUCCCAGAGCUUAACUUUGGAACUGCAUUUUUAACUACCGGGCUAGAGUGUGUCAGAGGGAGGUGGAAUUCCGCGUGUAGCAGUGAAAUGCGUAGAUAUGCGGAGGAACACCGGUGGCGAAGGCAGCCUCCUGGGAUAACACUGACGCUCAUGCACGAAAGCGUGGGGAGCAAACAGGAUUAGAUACCCUGGUAGUCCACGCCCUAAACGAUGUCAACUAGCUGUUGGGGCCUUCGGGCCUUGGUAGCGCAGCUAACGCGUGAAGUUGACCGCCUGGGGAGUACGGUCGCAAGAUUAAAACUCAAAUGAAUUGACGG
rnacentral:rRNA from 1 species